rnacentral:rRNA from 1 species
GGAGGGUCCAAGCGUUAUCCGGAUUCAUUGGGUUUAAAGGGUGCGCAGGUGGGGAUGUAAGUCAGUGGUGAAAUACUGCCGCUCAACGGUAGAACUGCCAUUGAUACUGCAUCUCUUGAGUAUGGUUGAGGUAGGCGGAAUGUGUUGUGUAGCGGUGAAAUGCAUAGAUAUAACACAGAACGCCGAUUGCGAAGGCAGCUUACUAAGCCAUUACUGACACUGAGGCACGAAAGCGUGGGUAGCGAACAGGAUUAGAUACCCUGGUAGUCCACGCCGUAAACGAUGUUCACUCGCUGUUUGCGAUAUACAGCAAGCGGCUUAGCGAAAGCAUUAAGUGAACCACCUGGGGAGUACGAUCGCAAGGUUGAAACUCAAAGGAAUUGACGGGGGCCCGCACAAGCGGAGGAACAUGUGGUUUAAUUCGAUGAUACGCGAGGAACCUUACCUGGGCUUAAAUGUAGGUUGCAUAACUUAGAAAUAGGUUUUCCCUUCGGGGCUACUUACAAGGUGCUGCAUGGUUGUCGUCAGCUCGUGCCGUGAGGUGUCGGGUUAAGUCCCAUAACGAGCGCAACCCCUAUCGUUAGUUGCCAGCGGGUCAUGCCGGGGACUCUAGCGAGACUGCCACCGUAAGGUGAGAGGAAGGUGGGGAUGACGUCAAAUCAGCACGGCCCUUAUGUCCAGGGCUACACACGUGUUACAAUGGCCGAUACAAAGGGCAGCUACCAGGCAACUGGAUGCUAAUCCCUAAAGUCGGUCCCAGUUCGGAUUGGAGUCUGCAACCCGACUCCAUGAAGUUGGAUUCGCUAGUAAUCGGAUAUCAGCAAUGAUCCGGUGAAUACGUUCCCGGGCCUU